rnacentral:lncRNA from 1 species
AAUAAGUAAUAUGCUUUCUGGUUACGAUUUGGUGGGUUGUAACUAUAUUUUUUAUUUUUACAGUUCCAGAGGGAAGGAGCAAACCGCUUUGAGGAGUCCCUGUAUAAGAGACUAUUGGAUACUGAAGGGCUGUACUGCAGUGUCGGCUCUAGACUUGGCGAGGCCUUAGGCGAAACGCAUACAUGAGACACCACGGAGAACACCAUUAUUGAAGAAAAAAUAGCAGUUGACUUUGUGUAUAAGAAGCUGUAGAUAUAUUGAUGGUGGAGCUCAGUGGCGUAUCCUGGUUUUGUGCUGCCCUAGGCAGGACAAAACUCAGGCGCCCCUCUCCCCCCCGCCUUCUAAAUACACACACACACACAUUCACUGACAGAUACGCAUACAUUAGCUAACAGAAACAGACACACACACACUCACACUCACUAACAGACACACACAGCCCCCCCAGACUCCUUACCUUUGGUAAUGCUGGGGGGGUUCUCUAUCUCCCUGGGGUCUAGUGGGGCUGCUGGGCUGGUUGCUGGGGGGCGGGAGGGCAGCUGGCAAGGGAGCACUGACUCUGAGCUGUCUGCUCAGCUCCCUCGCGCGCCAGUGACGUCAUGUUCCGGCUCCCAGCCUCACUCUGCGGCGCGCGAGGGAGCUGAGCAGACAGCUCAGAGGAAGUGCUCCCUCGCCCGCCAGCCCAGCAUGUCAGUUAGCCGCAAGGCUAACAAGGCAUGUGCCCUGGGCAUUUGGGGGCGUCUUUUUUUGCCGCCCCCUGGAAAAUCUCGCCCAAGGCAAAUGCCUUGUUUGCCUCGUGGCUAAUAAGUCCCUGGUGGAGCUUGCAGCACUGGAUACACAGAGCUAGUCUCUGUAUACAUCGUUGCAUAGUCUACCUGAGUGUGUGUAUCUGACAGUGAGUAUCCUUGUAUCUGUAUGUAUGUUUCUCUGAGCAUGUGUAUGUUUGUGUACUGACUUGCCUUUGGAACUGAGUUUAUGGCGAAGCUAUGUUUUAUGACGGUGUGUAUAAUGAUUGCCUUUGGGGGGGUGACAGGGUGAGUAAAGGGGUAACUGUGGCAGGGUGAGUGUAAAAGAGCAGGAGGGUGCUAGCGUGUUGAGGGUUGACAGUGUGUAUGGAGGGAGGUGGCAGAGUGUGGAGAGUGGUGACAUAGUGUGAGAGGGGGGGUGAUGAGGUG